AGAAUUUCUGCUGCUUUCGUCGCAGCGAGCAUAAUAAUGAGUUUUCUCGCCUCCGCUUUACCACCACUUUCCACACACACCGAGUUUUCCCGGUCGGAAAACGGGGGAUGCGUUGAAUGAAUUGGAUGGGUGGAUUAAGCUGAAGGGAAGAAGGAAUUGGAACAGCAUAAUGCGAAAUAAUGUUGAAAAUUAUAAAGCGAAAUUGCCAGAGAUGCCAGAUAGAAAUACGAACGGCCAAACGGAACAAGCCACAUCCAGUACAUACACACACGAUGCAUAUACAUACUUACAUACAUAUGUACGUACAAUAGCAAACUGGUUGCCAGCGAGGGCACGAAGAUGUGUGGAAUGGAGAAGGGCGAAAUAACGUCGGCAGAGCGAAGCCAUAUGAAACCGAGAGAGCGGCGAAGAGAGAGGGAGCAGAACGAAGCAUAAGGCAAAAGGCGAAAGGCAUGCAAAGCAAAACUCCAAAAUAUAUGUAUGUAUGUGUAGUUGUAUGUGCGAGGGCCGCUGGCGCCUGCGAAGAGUUGUAGAGGGAGAGAGCGCCAGAGCAGAGAGGGAGAGCAGCAACGAAUGCGGGCAGCAAAGCGGAAACGAGCACAAAGCGGAGAGGCCGAUACAUAAGACAC
ensembl:ncRNA lncRNA:CR44339 long non-coding RNA:CR44339